CCUACGGGUGGCAGCAGUGGGGAAUAUUGCCCAAUGGGGGAAACCCUGAUGCAGCAACGCCGCGUGAGCGAUGAAGUAUUUCGGUAUGUAAAGCUCUAUCAGCAGGGAAGAAAAUGACGGUACCUGAGUAAGAAUCCCCGGCUAACUACGUGCCAGCAGCCGCGGUAAUACGUAGGGGGCAAGCGUUAUCCGGAUUUACUGGGUGUAAGGGGAGCGUAGACGGAGGGACAAGUCUGAAGUGAAAGGCCGGGGCUCAACCCCAGGACUGCUUUUGAAACUGGCUGUCUGGAGUGCAGGAGAGGCAGGCGGAAUUCCUAGUGUAGCGGUGAAAUGCGUAGAUAUUAGGAAGAACACCAGUGGCGAAGGCGGCUUGCUGGACAGUAACUGACGUUGAGGCUCGAAAGCGUGGGGAGCAAACAGGAUUAGAUACCCCAGUAGUC
rnacentral:rRNA from 1 species